GAAGCAAGGAAAGACUAAUUUCAAAUGGAACCGAACAGUAAAUAUUCUCCUAAUUUAUAGGACUAAAUAUACUGAGAAAUAUUUCAGGAAAUAUGCCAAAAUGUCCAAUAAAUUCGUAUUUUCGUUAUUUUGAUAUCAAACGAAUUUAGUAUUGUCCUAUAGUACUGCUUUUUGAUACAAAAUUACAUUACGAUCGGGUUAAUAAUCUAAAUAUACAUAUGUUUUUCUCUUGAGACCUAGUCAGCCAUGUGUAACCAGAAUGUUCACAGUGCGGUCAUUAUCAAAAUCUUUAAUUUUUCGAAGGGGAACUGAAAACGAUGGGCGUGUUUCACCACAUUUAACAUUAGGGGAAUCAAAAAAAGCAGAAUUGAGCAUUUUCAGUGUUAAUAUUCAGUAUAUACAUAUUGUUCUAAAUAAAUAAAUACUUAUGUUCAAAUUGACCUACUUAUUUCAUGAAUAAUGAUGAACUUCAUAAAAUCUUUUGAAAUAUAUAAUAAAGUAAGGAUUGUAUUAUUACCUAAAUAUUUAAUUAAUAUACAUAUGUUUUAUGAAAAAUAUAUUUAUAUAUUUAUUUGGUCAUGAUUUUGAUAACAUUUGAAAGAACCAAGCGGUCGUACAUACUUGUAUGUUCAUACAUGUAUAAUUAUGUGUGCAAGUAAACAUAUAUGAAAGAACCAUACGCAAUAAUGUUUGUAAAUUUGUUUACAUACAACUUUCUAUGCUUCAUGCGAAAUCUCAGUUGACACGGAAAACCAAUAACCGCAGCUCACGUUUUUUGCUUUCUUGUCAAAGAGUCAAUGCGUCGAAGGACUGACGCAACGACAAAGCGUCACAACAUUGUGUUGUUGCUAGAAAAUUCGAGCUGUGCCGAUCACUUUUUUCUAUGGUUUGCGGGGUUGUCACUUUUUACUUCUAUAAGGAACAUCAGAAAGUUGUUCAAUUUAUGAUUUUGAAGCGAAGUUGCCAGUGGCGCUUGCGUUCAUGGAUAAAAAUGUUGUUGGUGUGUGAUUUACUAUAAAUUUUUAUUCGGCAAUUCGAAUGCUAUAUUGACUUUUGAUGCUGUUUAUGCCAUUUGAGACGAUUGUUAUUUUUGUAGAACAAUGCUUGUAGUUUUUGGUGGUGACAUACUUUACAUGUGUACGCUUAUAUGUAUGUAAGUUUGUGUAUGCAUUCUUUGUGUGGCAAUGUCAUACGCACAUAUGUGUGUACAUAUAGAGCAGGGCGCUCACAAGUUAUUACUGAUAAUAUCGAGAUUUGAAUGUGUGAAGGUGUACAUAUAUACAUACUUGUACAUACAUGUGUAUGUGCAUGAUACAUUUGGAUGUAUAUAAGUAUGUUUUAAAUGAUGAAAGGUAGGAUUUAUAUUAAUUACUAUUGUAAUAUAUUAAUAUUAUAGUAUAUUAUGAUAGUAUGUUAUGUAUUUAGUAUAUAGUAGUAUAUAAUAUUAUAUUAUCAAACAUAAGAAAUGUAUAAAAAGUAGGCCAAAUUUGCACAUUGCCUAAAAAUAUUGCUUUCAAAAUUACAUAAUUUAAUUAAAAGUUUAUCAGUUUUGCAUGCAUGCCUUUACAAAUUUACAAAAUUACAUACACUGGCCAAAGAAAGUAUUCGACAUAUGCAUUUUUCAAUUUAUUUUUGAAAUAUUCCUUAAUAUAAACUAAUAAAAGAUCAAAAAUCAGUGUUUUUUGGAGCAAUAAUUUAUUUAGUUUGUAACUUGAUGGCUUUUAUGAUAAUAAAAACAAUAAAACUAACCAAAAAAGCACAAAAACUAAAUUACCCCGAAUAAUGAAGCAAAAAAAAAUAUUCGACAAUUACGCAAAAGAGCGAAUUCCAAUGAUUAACGGUAAAAAAUAACGAUCGGUUUGAAUAUUUUGCUUAACAUUGUUUUGCAGCAAUCCAUUUUAAAGCGAAAUUUAAAGUAAAUAAGUGAAGUUAAACAUUGGUCGUAAAAAGAAAAAAGUGUCUGAAGAAAUAGAAAAUUUCAUCGUAAAGUACUUUAAAAGUGGAUUAACCGAAAGCAAAAUAGCCGAAUUAGUUGAUAGGUUACGUACAACUUUUCAUUAUAUUAUUAAAAAAUGGAAAGAUUAGAAGUCGGUUGAAAAUCAUCCAAGGUGUGGUCGACCUAAGGUCUUUUGUAAAACAGACGAACGUUGGUUGGUUCGCCAGGUCAAAAAAGAACCAAAAACAAAUGCAACGGUUCUCUACAAAAAUGUUAAAGAAAGCCUAAAUAUAGAUGUGACACCCCAAACCAUUCGAAAUUAUUUGAAAAUUAAUGACUACAGGGGAAGAGUUGCGCGAAAAAAGCCACAUAUCUCUAAAAAAAAAGAUUGGAAAGAUUAAGCUUUGCAAAAACGUACAUAAACAAGCCCGCUGAAUUUUGGAGUAAUAUGACCUUUGCAGAUGCGAGCAAAUUUAUUCUUUUUGGAUGUGAUGGCAAAGUAAUUGUGUACAGAAAACCCAAUACAGAGCUGGAAGAGCGAAAUACAGUGGCAACUGUGAAACACGGAGGUGGAGGCGUUAUGAUUUGGGGGUGUAUGUCGGCAGCAGGAGUUGGAAAAAUGGAACCAAUUCGCCAAAUCAUUUACCACAUGCAAUAUAUUGGUAUUUUGAAGAGAAACUUGCGAACUAGUGCAGAAAAUCUCGGAAUCGGAGCGACUUUCCAGUUUUACCAAGAUAACGACCCGAAGCAUUCCGCAUUAAAUACAAAGCUUUGGCUUUUAUACAAUUGCCCUGGAGUAAUUAAAACGCCUGCUCAAAGUCCAGAUCUAAAUCCCAUGCAGGUUGACAAUUCACGUCAAUUUGUCCGGACAACUUAGAAUGGUAUGUAUAGUGGUUAUAAUAUCAAAUAAAGUAAACAAUUUAAAAGAGAAAGAGUGCCGUCAUAUCAAAAUAUAUAAUUCUCAAAAAGUACAGAGGAUAAAUCGGACAGUCGAAGAAGAAAACAAAGUGGAAGACCUAGAAAAUUUUGAAGAAAAAUACAAACAGGAAAUACUUUUUUAGGCGUAUAUAAGGGUUGCCAUGUAUUGUGACAAAAUGUGGCAUUACGGGGCAAACCAGUGACAGUUUUAUUGGAUACAUACCAGGUAUGGUAAAAAACAGAAGCGCGAAAAUAUGAAUAAAAAAUGGACGAAGCGGCCUUUGAAAAAAUUAAAUUAGAAUUACAAGCGCAGGUAGAAUUGUAUCAACCAGAUUUUUCAAAACUUUUUGAACUUACGACUGACACAAGAAAUUUCGCUAUGUGAGUUGUACUUGUACAGAAUAGAAUCGCUUUUAUUUCCAGAAUUCUAAGCUUUACCGAACAAGGUUAUAUUACCAAUGAAAAAACUUUUAGCUAUAGUGUGGGCACUCCAAAAAUUUUGAAAUUAUCUAUACGGAGUGGCCGUUUUAACAAUCUAUACAGACCACCAGUUAGUAAUAUAUUCUAUGUCUGAAAAUAAACUAAACAGAAAACCAAAAAGAUAGAAAAAUUUAAUAGAAGAAUAUGGAACAAAAUUAGUUUACAAGCCAGGCCAUCAAAAUGUUGUAGCAGAUGCACUUGCUCGACAACAAGUAAACCACUUGCUCCGAUCAUUCUGCACAAAGCUCACCAAUAGAAAUAUUGAAACAGGUAAAACAAUAUUUCCUGAACAUUUUAGGGAUACGAUAUAUUGCAAUGCCAAGCGUUACAAAUUCUUUAAGGGUAGAAAAUAAAGAAAUUUUUCACUUCGGAAAAGAUAUUAUUCAUACAUUUCCAAAUUGUACAUUUGUACAAGCACAAAAACUUCUUGAUGAUAUUGUGAAUUCAUAUAAACGAAAGAGAUUGCUAUACAAACUCACAGAAGUGCCCUUAAAAAUUACAAAAACAACGCCUAAGAGAUACUUUUAAACUACUACUGGCCAAACCUAAAGCAAAUGUGCAGAGCCGAGACAAACACACGAAACAAACAACGAAAUAUGCCUUUUACAUAAAUAUGAGAGUCAACCGAACAAACAAUCUAUAGGAAACCAAUACCAACAAAAGUAGGAGAACACAUAAAAAGUGACAUAUUUCACAUGAACAACAAUAUUUUACUUAGUUCAAUAGACAGAUACUAGAAAUUUUGUUUUAUAUUGGGGAAGUUUUAAUAAAAGUAUAAUCUAUGACUGAUAAUGAGAGCGUAUUCUUUAGUUAUACUUGUAUGGCCAAAUCGUUAUACAGUUGACCAAUACACCAUUCUACGUCAAACGCUCAGAUUGAACGGGUGCACAGCACACUUGUUGAAAUCAUACAAAGCCUAGCAGCUGAAAAUAAAACAGCACCAGGGGACAGAAUAUUUAAUGCGGUACGUCAAUAUAAUAAAACCAUUCACUCUAGUACAGGAUAUAAACCUGAGGACGUGUUUUUUAUCGCGAGAAAUAUCCCGACAUCCGUGAAGCACUUGAGCAGAAGCAGAACCAACUUUAAAGUACCAUAAUAGCAAUCGGCAAAUUAUUUCUUACGAAGAGGGCGAUAUAAUUUACAGUCGGACAGAUCGACGGAAUAAAACUUCGGCAAAGUACAACAAACAUCAAGUAAAGGAAGAUCGAGGGGACACGAUUUUGACAGUAAAAGGGAAGGUUAUAUAUAUAAGGAUAGUAUCAGGAAGGUAUCAACAUAAAAGCGACCGGAUUUAAAAUAUUACUUAUUUUUUCAUAUUGUUCUUGGGAGAAAAUAACGGAUUUAAAUGGUAAAAAAUUUGUGCUUACUGAAUCUGACACGGUGUAUAUGUUUAACAUCAACGAUUCGAAAAUAUACUUGAAACCCUCGAUCCUGAAUCAAUUAUGGAGAGAUUAAUUAUGACAGAAGUCCUUAAAGAAUUAGAAAAUAUAACGAAUACAAUAAAUUGUGCAAGGUUAUGAAACUUUUAUUCAAGCAUGUUAAAUUUAAAAGAAAUAAAUGAAGUAAUCCACAAUGAAAUAUAUAAUGUUCCCCAGUAAUAACCAUAUAUAAAUAUCCUGUUAUUUCAAAUAAAUGCCAACUAUACCAACUGAUUCCUUUAGCUUUUGAACAAGACAAGUAUGAAUUGAAACAAAAGGUUUUGAAAAGUAAGAAAGAAUUUUUUAUGUAUCAAAAUGCAAAAGUAACGUAGGCACGAAUAUUUAUAAACAAAAAUUAAAAGAUAAUAUCACCAUUCCACUGUUAUCAAAUCAAAAAGCCCAAUGUAACUUAAUACAAGAAAAUAAUAUUGAAAUACAAAUUGUAGACCACAGCAAUAUUGUAAUAACUAGUGAACAUAUUUGGAACGGUUUAAAAGUAAGAGGACCACAUUUAAUACAAUUUGAAAUCUCUACAAGUAUAGAUAAUAAAACAUAUGUGAAUCACGAAGAAGAAAUUAAAAAUGCAAUUCAUGAACAUCAUAACGAGAUGUAGAAGUUUUGCAAAUAUUAGAAUCAAACGCAAAUUAUAAAUUUAAUAAUAUUCAAAAAUUAUAUAAAUACGCUAUACCUAUAGAAGAACAUCCAGUAGAGUUUGCAUUCUUCAUAAUUAUUUUUAUUUUAACAAUUUACUUAUAUAUAAAAUUAAGACAAUGUCGACGAAAACAAGAGACGCUCAUUAUUCGAGAGAGCAUAUGAAGACGAGCUCCUCCGACUACUAGCAUAAACACAAUACGGGCGACGGCGAAUAUUCGUCGUACUCGGCGAUACCGUCGGUGAUUCGAACACACGAUUGUAUAUGAAGAUUAACACAGUAUGCGACGGCGGCGGAUUUCGCCCACCAUGACGAUUUUUCAAAUAGAGCUAUUUCUAAUUUUAUCGCCGACCGCGGCCGCAAAAAUGGCAUCACCAUAUCAAAGAAAGAUUAUUUUCAGUAAAAAUACUAAUGAUUUUAAAAAAAAAUUUAAGAAAAUGUCUGUGUUGGCAAUAUUAAGAUUGUUUAUGUUUGGUUUCGUCAUUUAUUGUGAUAUUUUUGAGCGCUGAAUAUACACUAGCUGAGACGAAAAUCGUCCGUAUUGUGUUUUACACGGCGACAACACUCGGCGAAAAUCCGUCCGACGGCGUCGCCGAGUACGACGAAUAUUCGUCGUCGCCCGUAUUGUGUUUAAGAUGUUAAACAUCAGGAAGAGUUAAGGACGUUAGUAUAUGUAUAAACAUACAUAUAUACAAGCAACAAUUUUUGUUUCCAAACACAAAUAGCGAUAAACAAUAUCCAACCAAAAGCAAACAUAUUAAGUUCCCUAAUAUAAGUGACGAUAAGAACAUGAUAACAUUAUACAGAAAUUCAGUAACAGAAUAUAUAAACACUAAACAAUAUUUAUCAGCAAAUAGAAAUACUUAUCAGCUAUUAAAAAUAUUUAGUAUAAAUAGAUGUAAGCAUAUGUAAACACUCAUCAAACAAUAUUUAUCAGCAAAUAGAAAUACUUAUCAGCUAUUAGAAAUUAGUAGUAAAUAUUAUAUAAGUGGAUGUAAGCAUUCAAAUGUAAUCUCAAUUCUUAAUAUACGGAAUUUAACAAAGAGCUCUUGAUCAGAAAAUAGGAACGUCGAGAAACAAGGACACUUUUUUGUUGGCAAUUGUGGAAACAAAUAAUUGCGUCUACAAAGUAGUACCACACAGCGAUAUAUUCUUUGUCCUACUGUACCCUAUACACCAGUUGCAUCUGCGAUUACACCUGAUAAUAACAUUUUGAUUAAUAGUGUAGUAAACAUACACCAUGCAAUGUAGUAAACGUGGAAAAGGCUAUAAUUAGACACAACGAAAGUUCUUAAAUAAAUUAUCGAUGCGUAUACCUA